rnacentral:rRNA from 1 species
UACAGGGGGGGCAAGCGUUGUUCGGAAUUACUGGGCGUAAAGGGCUCGUAGGUGGCCAACUAAGUCGGACGUGAAAUCCCUCAGCUUAACUGGGGAACUGCGUCUGAUACUGGAUGGCUUGAGUUUGGGAGAGGGAUGCGGAAUUCCAGGUGUAGCGGUGAAAUGCGUAGAUAUCUGGAGGAACACCGGUGGCGAAGGCGGCAUCCUGGACCAACACUGACGCUGAGGCGCGAAAGCUAGGGGAGCAAACAGG